GAUGAACGCUGGCGGCGUGCCUAAUACAUGCAAGUCGAGCGAACAGAUAAGGAGCUUGCUCCUUUGACGUUAGCGGCGGACGGGUGAGUAACACGUGGGUAACCUACCUAUAGGACUGGAAUAACUCCGGGAAACCGGGGCUAAUGCCGGAUAACAUUUAGAACCGCAUGGUUCUAAAGUGAAAGAUGGUUUUGCUAUCACUUAUAGAUGGACCCGCGCCGUAUUAGCUAGUUGGUAAGGUAACGGCUUACCAAGGCAACGAUACGUAGCCGACCUGAGAGGGUGAUCGGCCACACUGGAACUGAGACACGGUCCAGACUCCUACGGGAGGCAGCAGUAGGGAAUCUUCCGCAAUGGGCGAAAGCCUGACGGAGCAACGCCGCGUGAGUGAUGAAGGUCUUCGGAUCGUAAAACCCUGUUAUUAGGGAAGAACAAAUGUGUAAGUAACUGUGCACGUCUUGACGGUACCUAAUCAGAAAGCCACGGCUAACUACGUG
rnacentral:rRNA from 1 species